rnacentral:rRNA from 1 species
CCUACGGGUGGCAGCAGUGAGGAAUAUUGGUCAAUGGACGAGAGUCUGAACCAGCCAAGUAGCGUGAAGGAUGACUGCCCUAUGGGUUGUAAACCUCUUUUGCCGGGGAGCAGUGGUCCGGACGCGUCCGGACCGGGAGAGUACCCGGAGAAAAAGCAUCGGCUAACUCCGUGCCAGCAGCCGCGGUAAUACGGAGGAUGCGAGCGUUAUCCGGAUUUAUUGGGUUUAAAGGGUGCGUAGGCGGGCAUUUAAGCCGGCGGUCAAAUGUCGGGGCUCAACCCCGGCCUGCCGUCGGAACUGGGUGCCUUGAGUGGGCGAGAAGUAUGCGGAAUGCGUGGUGUAGCGGUGAAAUGCAUAGAUAUCACGCAGAACCCCGAUUGCGAAGGCAGCAUACCGGCGCCCUACUGACGCUGAGGCACGAAAGUGCGGGUAUCGAACAGGAUUAGAUACCCCUGUAGUC